UAGACUUCUGGAAAUGAAGUGCUUCCAUGGCAAAAACUGCCAAAACCGCAAGUAUGCUGAUGACUUCUACGACGAA
rnacentral:ncRNA from 2 species